rnacentral:rRNA from 1 species
UACGUAGGUGGCAAGCGUUGUCCGGAUUUACUGGGCGUAAAGAGCGCGCAGGCGGUCGGAUAAGUCGAAUGUGAAAGCCCCCGGCUCAACUGGGGAGGGUCAUUCGAUACUGGUCGACUCGAAGGCAGGAGAGGGAAGUGGAAUUCCCGGUGUAGUGGUGAAAUGCGUAGAUAUCGGGAGGAACACCAGUGGCGAAGGCGACUUCCUGGCCUGCUCUUGACGCUGAGGCGCGAAAGCUAGGGGAGCAAACGGG